UUACUUUUAAAGAAAAAUAAAAAAAUAUUCUUACGUUAGUAUUAGUUUAUCCUCUAUUAUCUAAAUUUCAUACUCCCGAAUACGGGAGAAUAUUUUAUUCUUUUUCUCUUCUCUUCCUCCCAAUUCCUAACUCUUUGAUCUCUCAUUCAUUUUUCCUCGUAACUCCCAAAUAUAUCACAAUUAUUGUUCUCUUAAGCUAUGAGAUGGUUGUUUGAUGCCAUGCAAGUUGUGGGCCAUCAACCAAAAUGUCACGUCUGCGUCAAGAUUCAAAUCCUUGAUAAUAAAUAAGCACUAUGCCAUCAGGUCUGACAAUAAAAUGUAAGGAAUUGGGAUAUGGAUCCGCGGUAGUGAAUUUCUUGGGUAGAUUAUGUCAUAUAUUAGAAAGUGGAUGCAAUCAAAUGAAAGAUGCCGCCUAACUAUCUAUUGUUAGGAAAUCUUUUGAUAUAUUAGAAUAUUUAUACAAAAGCUUAUCAAAAAUCGUUCUCUUCUAUACUUAGUAAAACUGGACCUUGGAGCUUCCUUAGAAAGCUCAAUCGUUAUCAUCAUUGUCUACUCCACAAAUUCUAGUUCAAAAGAACUAUCAUACUCCACCAUAAAGAGUAUACUCACAGCACACACCUUGCGUCAAUGUUAACUAAUGUCUCUGUCACAUCUUUGCAUCCAAACUAAUGAUCAUGUCACACCCUUGCAUCUCUACAAAUGUCCGUGUUACAACUUGCAUCAAAGCGAAUACCCAUAUUACACUCUACAUCAAAGUCAGUCACCGCCUCUGUACUUUUGUGAAUCUGCUAACAAUUAACAUCCUUCAAAUGAGAACAUUUUCUUAACAUCUAGAGAGAACACAUUUUGUCUAGCCAUCACACCUUCACCCUCUUUAGUCAUUAUCUGACAUCUGAGUUAAGAGUCAUCUUCCAAUUGGUUAUGAUAACAAUUGUUGGUGCAGCGGAAGUGAUCGUUGUGCAACAUUAGCCACAAAAAUCAAAUAAAUGCAUAAAAUAAAUAGAAGAAAAGAAACAAGAGAAUUUGUUAACGGGAUUCGGCCAAUUGUGCCUACGUCCCGGGAGCGCUGAUCGGCUACCAAGAUAUUAUUAUAGAGAAAAGAUUACAAACUCUAGCACACCCAUGGGCCCACCUGCCCAUGAGGUGUUUCUAUUUGUUGCUUAUAUUUGGUGCACGUUACAAUAAGGGAGCUGAGUCCAAUAUAUAACAUUGACAUUAUAGUCUAUUCUAAUGUUAGGCAAUGUGAGACUUCAUAUAAUAACAUAUUUCAAGCAUCCCCAACAAUAACUUAGAAUAAUAUUUUUUAGUUGAAAUGCUAGUAUCUAGCAACUCUUUAUGAAUUUGACAAUCCAUUACUCUAUACUUGUUUGCAACAUUGAGGUAGCAUUUUAUAUAUCUAUCUGUCGGUUAGAAGCAACAAUGGUGCUAUAUAGGCAUGAUUUUUUUAAUAUAUUAUCUACAAUUUUUGAAGCCCACAAUGAGAAGUCCACAUGGCCAAACAAAUUGCACAAAUAGAAAAAUUUGCUCAGAAAAAAUAGUUAUCACAAUUCAUAAAUUAGAAAUUACAACUUUGAACAACAUAACAAAAUGUGAGAGUUUAUGUUUCAUACACAAGCAAAUCCUUGCCCUCAAACGUCAUUUCAUUACCUUCAAACGUCAUUUCAUUGCCUUCAAACACUAUUUUACUGUGUAACUUAUUGGUUUUUAAUAUAACCCUUUAGACUUUGUUUGAGAAUGAGGUUUUGGAGGGAAAUGAUGGCUUUGAAAAGUCUUUUCCUUGUUUGGGAGUUGGAUGAAGGAGAAGGGAAGGUUUUGGAGGGUCCUCCAAAACUCUCUAUGUGUCUAUUUUUAAAGUUCUCCCAAUUUGGAAUUUUUUAGAGAUAAAAUGUCAAAAUGUCAAAAUAUUUUUAGUAAUAUUAUAUAAUUAUACAUUAUUGUCCAUUUCUCAUUGUUAAUUACAUUUUUAAGAUAAAAUAAAAUAAAAUCUUAAUUUAUCAUUAGUUUACCCUCCUCAUCUAAAUUUCAUACUCUCAAACAAAGGGGGUGAUUUCCUUCAUUUUUCCUUCCCUUCCCCCCUUCCUAACCCAUUGAUCCAUCCCAUUUUUUCCCUCGCAACUUCCAAACAAAGCCUUAUUGUUUUCCAUUUCAUUGUUUCUAUUAUGCAUUUCAUUUUUCCAUUGUAUGUUUAACAUAGUUUAUAUUUCAUUGCCUUCAAAUAUUGUUUGUCUUUAUUUCUUAU
rnacentral:lncRNA from 1 species